CAGACUUAAUUCCAAUUAAACAUCGAUUAACAAUUAAUCUAAUUCCUAAUUAAAAACUGUAGAAGAGGGAUUAGGUUAGAUACGAGUGAACCUUCACAUUGCAAUUCAGCUUCUUCCUCUUCUCUCAAAACGGCGACGGCGGUAGGACCUCGGCGAAGACCUUCGUUCCACCGUGAACCACCAAACUCCAUCGUCUCAGUCUGCUUCAAUUAUCUAUCGACCUAAAUCUUCUCUCAUCUCCGAUUUCCUCUCACCGUGAACUUGCUUCACCUUCUGCUCAAGAUUCCAAACGAAACUCUUCGUUCUUCCGCGUUUUGAUGUUGUUGAUGAGGAAUCGUUAUGCUGCGAAUGAUUAGCGUAUUGAAUCGAAUAGGCGUUGUUAUGUCAAACACAGAGUAAGGAAGAGCGAAGAGGAUUGUCAUUAUCGGAACAGGUUCUCAUUGUUGAAGGUGUUGCUAAUUGAAGGAUUAUUGAUGAUGAUCUGCGAUGAAGGUGGAGUGCGAUUGCGAUUCCGAGAAGACUCGCUGAAUGAUGUUGUUGUUGUGUUUCGGAGCGGAGUGAUGGUGAUUGCGUUGCAGAAUUAUUGAUGAACAGUGUUGAAGAUCGAUGAAGAUUCUUGUGAAGAUAUAUUCUGAAGAAGCUUGAGAAUUGAUGAUUAUUCGGUUACAGAGUGCAGGUUUAUGAAUCUCCAGAGAUCGAAGGUUGAAUGGAGGUUGGGGAUGAAAGUUCAGAGAUGGUGAAGAAGGUUGAAGAUGAAGAUCGAAUGUGAUGAGAUGCGAAGAAGAUGGAGAAGUUUGUUACACGGUUGGAGAAGAUUGAAAGUGUGGAGGAGAUUGAAGACUGAAGAGGCUCAAGGUUCUUGGAGAGAGUUUUUGAUCGUGAUUCUUUUUUUUUGCUGAAAAACUCCCUUCCACCAUUUCUCAUGUGAAUCUGUUAUGAGUUUCUUGCUCUCCUCAUUUGCUGGAGUUAUGAACCCGUUUUUAUUCGGUUUAUUUGUUCUACUUUGCUGCAGAAUUGAACCAGCUUCUAGAUGGUACGGUUCCGUGGAAAUUUUUGGUUCAGCUCGGAUUCUCUGGUGCUUAAACCGUGAUGUAGUUUUGAUGGGAAAUUGGCAUAGCAUGGUUUCGUUAAUUAUCGACCCCCACGGGUUUUGGUUCUGCGCAAGAUUGGCUUUAUUUUUUAGUCACUGUGUUUGAAUAUUUUUUGUAAUAAUAAUGGACUGUAUUGAAACUUUGUAAUGGGCUGAACCUUGUAAUUUGAAUAUGGACUUUGGUAUAUAAUUGGACAUUUGAGUAUUGUAAUGAAUGAAUUGAUGAAUAUGGUUGAAUGAUCUUGAAUCUUGAAACUUUAAUGCUAAAAUCCAUAUGAAUGAAUCCUUCAACUUGAAUCAACUCUUUGACCAAUCAAGCACUUAAACUUUGGAUCCGAUCAAAUAAUGUUGAAUUUAAAUCGAAUUUAUGGAAUCAAACUUCAAACCCCUAUCAUCUUAUUCUUCGAAUGCAACCUUAACUUCAAUUGCUAAGCCAAGUCAACACAUAUUGCAAGCCGAAAGCAAAAUACAAGAAUAAGCAUGCCUUGAACAAAAAUGAACCCACAAGCCUAACUUUCACGCCAUGACAUGCACUGUACUUCAAUUCGACAUAACAAUAAUGCUUUGAGGAAUUCUUGAGGAAGAUAAGAAAUGAAGCACAUAAGAACAACUCAGCAUGAAAUCCAAUGAAUCUCAGUUGAAUUAGCGAUUGCGGCCACCACAUAUAAGAAACUCUUUAUUAUUUUCUUCAAUUUUUGAAUGACGAAAUAAACGUCUUUUAACUUAUGACACAGAGAAAGAGGGCAAA